GAUGCCCUGAAAGCUCAGCACCUCCAACCUGAUCUGCUCUCGGCGCUGGCGGAGCGCCUGGUCGAGUGGUGAUCCUGCCGACAGGCGCAGUGCGCACACUUCACCACAACCUCACAGGAUGGUUUCCAGAGUGUCAGUGGAUUCUCUGUCGCAUGUUGCGCGCUACACAGCCUAGCCUUACAUCCAUGUUGACCUGAUGGAGGAGACAUUACAGGACUGAAGACGGACAGAGGAUGGAAUGCAGAGCAGGGGGAGGACAGACCACCUGGCUGCACAGCUCCGUCCUGAAUACAUUUGAGGACCGGAUGGCGGACCGAGGUGACCUGAGGUGACCCGAGGUGACCCGAGGUGACCUGAGGUGACCUGAGGUGACCCGAGGUGACCCGAGGUGACCCGAGGUGACCCGAGGUGACCUGAGGUGACCCGAGGUGACCCGAGGUGACCUGAGGUGACCUGAGGUGACCCGAGGUGACCCGAGGUGACCCGAGGUGACCCGAGGUGAGCCGGCGCUCAGCUUCUUCAUGCCGCCUGCAGCAGGCUGUGAUUCUCUGCUGUGACUAAACAAGAGAUACGGAUCGUUUUGUGUGAAUCCAACAGUGUCUGGGUCCAGUUUAACCUGUUUCAGAGUAAAUCUGCACAGCUGAAGGAAAAGUUCAUGUUUAAAGCUGUUUAACUUAACUUUAAUGUUUAAAAGAAGAGCUGAAUGUUAAUAUUGACCAUAAAGUUCAGUCUCAGUGGUGUAAAUGUCUUCUGCUCGUUAUACUGCUGAAUGUUGUGCAUUCAGACUAAAACCAUUAACUAUUUCAAUCUAGGGACCACUGAGGAACCAGAACCUGGUCCAGAGGUGAUCUGCAGCCAGAUGUGGAUGGAGGGAGGUUUGUUUUUCAAUGCUUGAAUUAAUGCACGUAUGAAUAACUUACUGAGUUGUUAGUGUGUGAUUCUUUUUGAUUUUUGUUUUUUUGUCCUCCUUUGGGACCUCUUCAGGGUUGGAUGUGAUGAAAACAAACUGAAGAUAAAAGAGGCAUCACCUGAAGGCCUGAUCCAAGCAGGUUGUCAGUCUGGUGUCAUAAAGUCUCCUGGGUGCUGCAGGCCUGAGUCUCCACCUCCACCCAGCAGAAACCCAGCUGGUGGAGACAGGACCAGCUGGUUCAUGAGGGAUUUGAGCAGGACCAGGGCCUCAUCACAUCCCAGGAGGAGGAAUUCUGACGUGGCUCCAUCAACGACUCCAGCAGGAUGUAGAAAAGCCUGAUGGACCAGAGAGAAAAGCUCCAGGCUCUUCCACCUGCUCCUGUCUGGAAGUGGAUCACUCUGAGAUGAUGCUCAUCAGUUCAUCCACAACACUGAGGACGGUCUAGCAGAACCCUGCCAGAACCAGACCGGAGCUCCUGACUCCAUCCAGGGGCUUUUUCCUGGAGCAGCAUCUGUAACAGUAUUACAGUGUUCUCCCUGGAGAACCCUGAGCACUGGAGUCACAUGACCUCUGGAGAAACCUGAAGACUGGAGUCACAUCGCCUCCAGGAUCGACAUCUUAUCAUUGAUCUGUGCAUAUUGCUGUUGUUGUUCCUGGUGAAUAAAAGACAGAACUAUAGAAUUUUUAAAAACAUGUCAUUUUUUAAAGUUUCUAAAGUUUCUAACUUAUUUUUGAUUUUACUCUUGAAGGUUCUGUUGAAGUUUGUUAAAUAAAGCUCCCUGGACUCAGUGGCUGCUUUCAAAAAACAUUUAAUUAUCAUAUCUGUUCCAAAAAGCAUUUUAGACCAAACCAGCACAGCGUUGUCUUGACUGUACUAUGUAUUAUGUACUGUCUAUAUGAUAUCUUAUCUCUCUGAUCUUAUGUACUGUGCCUUGUUUAUACGAUCUCUUAUGCAUCAUGCUCUGUUUAUAUGAUCUUUUAUCCUAAUAUCUUGAUCUUAAAUGACUCUUGUGCCACUGUGAAGCACUUUGUGACGGUUGCUCUGUGAAAAGCGCCGCACAAGUAAAUUUUACUUACUUACUUACUUACUUGCUUACUUACUAUUAACAUAAUUCAGCUGUUCAUU